UACAACAAACACACAUCAGUCUGCUUGAAAUCAUUCCACCAAAGACUUCUAAAAACUUUAGGUAGUCGGCAAACAGUAAUGGUUGUUUCACAUUAAGUUGCUUUGUAGAAUUAUAAAACAGCUUUUCGUAUGCUUUCAAAUAAAAUGUUGUCAUCCACUAAUGAAUGAGAUACCAUCUGUAAUAAUUAAGGUUAUUCCACUUGUUUUUCCCUGCAGCAAAACUUCUGAAGGUUUGAAGAAGAUAGUAAGAAAUCUACGAAGGAGGGCUGUAGCAGUAUUUGUAGCAGUAUUGUAAGUACUGCAUUGAAAAGAAUGUGAAUUAAAAAUAUUAUAAAGUGCCUGUCCAUAUAUAUUUGAUGAAAAAUUAGUUGUACAAAGGGAGCGCAUGGAAUGUAAGGGACAAGAUAUAUAGUAGCAGUUUUGUUAAUUUACAAAGAUAGCUCCAUUCUUAUGAAAUUUAAAGUGUAGCCUUUGCAGUGUAAUCAGGAAUUCACCAGUAUCACUGAAAAAAUAUCUUUUUAUCUAACAAAGAUUGAUCUACUUUAUAUACAUUUGUUUAUUUAAAACUAUCAGAAUUUAGAAAAUCAUUAUAGUUUUGUAGGGCUGUCAUUUGUUUUAGUGACUUAUUGUUUAGGUUAUUUUGCAGAAUUAUUUAUUUGCUGAUUUAUUUAUGUAUUUCAUUAUUUAUUUAUUUGAUUAUUUAGUAAAUUAUUUAUCUGAUGAAUUAUUAAUACAUCUUCAUGACAAGCUUUAAAUUAUUUAUAACUUAAUUUUGAUUUUAUUGCUUUUCGACGCUGCAUUGUUACUGACUAGGUUUUUUUUUUUUAAAUCCCCUUACUUGCUUCUUGAAAAUUAAAGUAUUAGCUUUGAGGCAAGUUUAUAUUCAUUGCAAGGCCAAUAGAUAGAUAUAUUUUCUGCAUAUGAAGUACUUCUCCUUGUAGGUACACAUUUUACAUGGCAUUUUGUAACUUGUGACUGCGUACUUACUUACCUGUUCACAAUCUUGCUUUUGCUGUUCCAUAGCUAUAUAAAGAUAAAUAUUUAACCUUUGGUGCAAAAGUGAACACAUUCUUCUUCUCCAUAGUUUACACAACUAGUGUACUUUCCUGUACACUUUCUAUAUGUGUUGGAUAUAGAGACACAUUCUCUGUUGCAGGAAAGAUUCUCUUGAUUCAACCCAUUAUACAGACAAUUGUUGCACUGUCAUUCAGUAAUUUGUUGAAGCUUCAUGAUUGCUUUCAGAACAUGCACUUGCUGCUAAGAGAAUAGGUGAAAGAUUUUCUGAGCUCAGUCAAACUUGAGUAGCCUCUUCUUUUUAAAUGGAGGUCUUGCUCAGUAAGUUUCAAACACUAACCUGCCCUACAAAGUGUCAUUCCUAAUGUCUUCUAAUGUUUACUGUGGAAUCACACCUAAUGUAGACAGUUCUAGCUCCACCAGUCUCUCCUUCCAUCUCUAAUAUCCCUUAAUACUUUUCUUUCUAUUUCUAAGAUGCUCUGCUUCCUGCAUUACACUAAUUUCGAUGCACGAUUUGGCCUCUGCAUACAGAGAGGGUAGGAUGCAGAUGCCCUUUGUUCACAUAGUGAGUCCAGGUGGUGUCUACACAGUCUCAGCACCCUGCUUUGCCUCCCUGGGGCAUUUUGCAUAUGGAGCCCCCUCCUGGUACGCCACAGCAAUGAUAAAUGCAUAAACACCCAGCAGGCUAUUACUAACAAUUGCUAGAUUACAGGGCAAGCUUCAUGCAUUGUUUGCUGCUCCUUCAACUCUGCAGAAAGUCUACUCGGAGCGAGAUCCUAGAAGGAAGAGGGGGCUUCAUGAGAAAGCACCAUCUUUCCAGGGGUGGAGCACAUAAAAUAUUGUGUUAAUAAUGGAAGAAAAGUUCAUACAGAAAGAAUGCUCAGAAAACUGACAUGUUUUUGGGCCCAGGGAAGAUCGAUGUCUACUGGUGUUUAAAGUGUCCUGAAUUGAUUGGACAGUAAAGAGGAGAUAAAUGGCAGGGAAAAGCCAGUGACGAGUAGGAUGGAGAUGUGUUCUAAGUAAAUCAUUCUGCAGAUGUUACCUGUGUGUGGGUUACUGGACAAGGAUGCAAAACGGCUCUUACCUUAAAUAUGAAUAAAUAGUUUGGUCUUGUUCGCAUGUCUCUAUAUAUCACUGCUAUGACUUCAGCUGCUGUAAAUGUUUUACAGUUAAUGCUAAACUUUUAAUUCACUUUAAAAUUCAGUAAGUCUGCUUAUUUUAAUACAGCCUUCCCAGCCUCUCUUUUUUGUAGGGGAAUGUAGUAUCUCCAUGCAAUGAGUAGUAAAAUGAUGAGGGCAAAGCUGUAGUUCUGAUAAAUGUGCUGUGUGCACAACAUGGCCUUUAUUCUGUGUUUAGUGCUUGAGAUGAAUUACUAUAGAAUUUAAAGUUUAACAGGGCAUGGGAAAGGAUGCAUUGUACAUUUCAAGUUGGGAUGCUGUUGCAGUACAGUAGAAAUGGCCUCUGUAGAUAUGUUUCACUAUAGAACUUAAAUUAUGCAUGUGUAUAUCCAAAUUCCUUAUUUUGAAAUAUUGAAUGUAUGAAUAUUUAAUUGGUAUCUUGCUUUAGUAUCUUCAUAUGCUUGCCUUAAAGGAAACUGUUUCCUUUGAUUUAUAUACAUGGAUAAAAAACUUGUAUAGAGUGUGUAUCAAUGGCUUUUCUCUCUCCUGUAUUAGAUGAACAGCAUUAGGCAAUGACAAGUUGGGGCCGGUUUCUUUCUUUUUGAUUGCUUAAGUUUUGUAAACCUUGUUCGUAACACCUUUAUGAACACCUUGGUUGCUUUUUACAUUAGUCUUUCAGAUUUGCUUUUUUUUAAAAAACCAACCACGUACUUACAAAGGUCAGAUACAUCGCAGCAUAUAACAGUAGAAUGUGUUGUAUUUUGUAGUUUAUGCCGAAGUGCAUCCCCAGUAAUAUACAUCUUUUUGGAAGUUUUUUAUUUAUCUUAACCUUUUCAUUUGUAUUUUUUUCACAAUAUAAAAAUGUUAUUGAAAAGGCCUGUAAAGCAUUGAUAUUAAAUAUUGCAAGUAUGCUCUGUCACUCACCUGUACUAGUAUUAAAUGCUUCCUGAAUGACAUAUUAUGAUAGUUCCAGGGGUAAUAUAAGGCAGCUUAUGCACUGGCCCUGAGAACAGCUAGUGAGAAGUGAAAGCACAGCCAAAGGUCACAUUAAACAAGAGUUCUGUCACACCCCAUUCAUUUACCCACCAAUUUGUGAGAAUAGCUGGUUACAUCUUGUGCUGUAUAAUUUUUAGGAAAGAUUGUGCUAUUUUUACUUACUGUGUUUUAAUGGCAUGUCAACCUUGGAUGCUACAGGUUAAAAAAAAAUCCAAUAAUGAUUUUCUACAAUAUUAUUCAAACACAUCUUAAUUCCAGCCUUGAAAAAAGGCCUGCGUAUAUACAUUGCAUGUGCCUAUGUAUAUACAGGGUGAUUCAUAAUAAUAAAUUCCAUUUACUAUAAAUGGAAACUGCAUACUUCAUUAUGAAUCACCCUGUAUACAUAGGUUUGCACAACAGGGCUUUUUUAAAAAACAAAAAAACAGCAACCUUGCUAAUUUCCUCCCCCCGCCCCUUUAAAGACAUAUUGUAAUUAAACUCUCCCAAGUUUAACCAACAUUUUGCAGUGCAGUACAGGAACUGAUAUAAUCACUUCAGUGCUAUUUUGUAAUUAAAACAAAUACAGUACUCCACUGUUUAUAUAUGUUUCCAAGGUGGAUCAAAAUGACUUGUGCAGAACCUUUGGACUGUAGGUACUGGGGUGCAGAGAAGUUCAAUGAGUUUCAUAUCAUGUAGCAGUUCUUUGGAGAAAAGAACUGAAACCACCUACUGGACAAUAGUAGGUCUCUCCAUGUAAUAAUUACAUGUGUAUUUCCUUUCCUGUAGUUUAAAUGUAAACUAUAAUUUUGCAAACUGCUGUACUUGACAGUUCAGGGGCCUAAAUGAUACUGUUUGCUAACUGUAUUAACUACAGAAAACAUCUGCAUGCAUCUAUAGUUUUUUAAAAUAUUAUUUUGCCAUGUCUGGUUUUCAAUUCCUUGCUUGUCUUGUAUUUAUAUAUUUUUAAUAGAUGAAAAUGACAAAAUAUUAUGAUGGUGGGCUUUCUGUGUGUCAGGGUCUAAGUCAUAGGUUAGUUUUAAGACAAAGCAGCCUCAUAAGUCAGAACUGAAGAGUAAGAGAGGACGAACCAGGAGGGAGGACCAAAGAGGAGCCCCAUAUUGUUUUGGCAAAGCUGAAUAGGAAGCUUUUUCUUAUACUCUUGGGUCAACUGCAUCUUAGUCCAUCUUAGUGGUUGGAGUAAGCACAGGGCCUGAGCGUACUUCAGAUAGAUUAUGUAACCUGCAGGUUUGUGGCUCAGCAUAAAGCACAGCUGCACCCAGAUUCAUUUCGUGUCACAACAACUCCUGAGGCUGUGGUAGAUUUUCAUCUGGUAGCUGCAUUGUAAACUACUGCACAGUCCUGUUACUAUGUGUAAAUGCUCCAACACAUUAGUUUGGGUAAGAUGCAAAUAAGCCCAAAUAAGGUUUAGUAUCUGGAUCCUGAGGGAUCCUUUUAAAACAGCUUGAUGGAUUUGAUUGCCUGCCACCUACCACCCUGAACAUUUCCCCCAUGCUCUGGAUUUUAUUGUCUUGUUGCCAUCAUUUUCCCUGUAUAGCAUCUGUGUCAUCCAGCUUCAGAAUCUGAAAUUUCAUCCUCUAUCCAGUGUUUUUAUGGUUAAUUUUGAACAGCUAUAUCGUAAGUGAUGCUCUUUGAUAUAGCUCGGUGCUUGAAUUUGGGGAAGGAGGUGAAAAUUAGAUACUUUUGUUUCAAAUUAGGGCAGACUCAAUUUAGCCUUUGGUGUAUUGACCUUCUUUAUACUCAUGCAAACUAUUUGCUAAUGAGCUUGAAUUAAUACAUUCACACUUCCACUGUAUUAUUUCGGUUAUCGAUCAUUACCAUGAAAAGUGAAAAGCAUUAAUGAAUGGUUAAUGUGGCAUAAUAUUAGGCAUGACCUAUCUUCAACAAAGUUUCUAGAUAUGCUAAUUGUUUAAUUAUGUGUACUUCCUUACUGCAAGGGUAGGGCAAGUAGUGUUGUAAGCAUGGCAAUGCUCCAUAUACUUUUCUUUCUUAAAAACUUGUAGUGGCAGUCUAAGCCGAUGGUUAUUACUGAUUUUGGAGGUAAUAGUGGCUGUUUCCAUUUUCUAGUAUUACCCAGGCCAGGGCUCUUUGAAGCUGGAAGUGUCAGCAAAUGGGCACUUUGAGAUAUGGUUUCCUCUUCCAGGGCAUAUGUCCAGUAUAACCUCUGCUGGCAUAAGGCUUUGGUUGUUAGAUACUUUUCAGCUAAUUAUGUGCCAGAAUGAAAACGGGAAAACAAAAAAGUGACAAUUAAUCAUGAGUUGUGUGCGUGGCUUUCUGUAACCUGGACCUCUUGAACAUAACAAUGUCUUGUCAAGUCACUUUUAUUGCAUUUAGCCAUACACCAUUUCAUUGAAACCCUGACCCAGACAGGAUAGUUUAAUAAAAUGCACAGUAAAAUAUUAGACUAAGAGACCGCCUGCAUAAAACAUCCAAUUUAUUAACAAAAAGUUGUUGUUGUUUGUUGCAUGAAAGCUACAAAUACUACCAAUUGUUAUUUACUUAUGAAACCUACAAAUACAAUCAAUUGCAGACAACCUAUAUAUAAAAGGGGCAGAUGGAGCCCAUUAACCUGGGAAGGUAGUCCAUGGAGAAGGAAAACUCUUAUCCUGAACCUCCGCAGCUUUGUGGGAAACCUUUGGGAGAAAAAAAGGCUUAGGAGUAAACCCUACACAAAUCCAGAGUGGAAUCCCUAAGACUGUUGGAUGCUGCCUUGUAUGCCUCCUUCUGGCAUCUCCUGCAUCCAAGCUGGUGCCAAAUGUACUGCUUUCCUUUCCUGUGGAAGCAUCAGCAAGGUCAAGAGGGGUGUCUUGUCAUUUAGUCAGCCCAUGACCUUCAUACACACUGCCCAGGCUAGCAUCCCAGGGAGUUCACUCUGAUGCUGCUAACUCAGCGGUUUGACUUCACCCCCAGAGGCACACUCCAUUCUCUAUUGAGACAGGCGGAUACCAACAACAUAAUAUGUAAGUACAAAGAAUACAGAAACAGUGUUCUAAUUGGCAGGACAUAGUACACAUAGUCCCCAGCUAAAGGGAGAUGCUCAUGAAGUUGUACUUCUUUCUGACACAACCAUCCAUUGAACAUUGGUGAGGCUUGUAAAUAAGAUAAGCUUGGAAAUGCAAGGACUGACUUGUUGGAUAGUGGCCUUGCAUAAGUCACUUGGUCAAACUUUUUGGCUGAAAAGCAGGAUAUAAAUGUUUUAUAUAAAUAAUAAAUGAAUAACCUUUUACAUCUCUCCUUUUCGUGAGGAUUUCCUCUUAACAAACCUUAAUUCUUAUGAACAAUGCACAUAAUUUGCAGGCUCUCUUGUCUAUGUGUGUCUGCUGUAUUUUGAAUUCUGUUAAGCUUAAUGGGUCAGAUCCAGAGGUUCUCUUUUUCUGAGGAAAGGACUCUUCCUCCAGUGGAGCAAAGGGAACUUUUGGAUCCAAUGCAACAGAAGCUUAGGUAGAAUCCAAGCAGAAAGAGUGGGCCAGUGAAGUAAACAGAAAUGAGAAGCAACAUAAUUGUAAUGAAGAAUGGGAAAGAUUCAGCAAGUAGUAGACCUGAUAGGAUCUUGGGGAGCACACAGGGGUAGCAAGAGAAGGAGGAAGAUGGAAAUUUAUUAGCAGAAACCUUGAAGUACCAGCCAUGAAGAUUGAACAGGAACCAGGAAAUAAUGCGGCAAAGGGUAGAGGGAAACCGCAAAUGAAGAAUAUUGUAAACUACAGUUUCAAAAAGCAAGAAAAACAGGAUAGGAAAAAACGACAUUGUAAGGCACUGUCCAUGUUCUAGACCCACAGUGCCAAAGUAGUGUAAUAAUGUCAUUGCAGAAGGCGUGAGUCUUCACAGUUUGAAGCAUCAGAGGAUGCUAAGGUCUAAUGAGUUCCUUGGUCUAGUUCCUUGUGAUUCUGUUAAUAGUUAGAACUGCAUAUCUGCAACCGCAGGUUGGCUAAUGUGGAAUUUGGCGGCCUCCUGAAUCUUCCUCAUCUGCUUUGUGGAUAAGAAAGUAUGCUUGGCACCAGACAGCGUUUCUUCUUGCUAUACUGAAAUUUGUCUUUAUUUUCCUAAUGAGCCAGUUGUCUUUGGCAGGGUAGUUGUCCCCAGUUUCCUUUCAAACUAAAAUUUCACGUGUAUAUUAAAAUACAUAAUGCUGGAGGAUAUGCCAGAGAAACAAUAUGAAUACAGUAUUGCUGAAUACGUGGGGCAUAGGAUUUGUAGAAUGAAAGUUAAAAUAGAUGGUUCUGCUCAUUUACAAGAAAAGUCACCAGACAGCAUUGUUUGUCAGUCAACAAGCCUUUGAGCUGACAGUCAUUGCAGCAAUGCUUCAUUAAGAAUUGAAAGGUGCCUUUUGCAUGUUAGAAUUAAAACGGGUGACACUAAUGCAGUACCUACUACUCCUGAGUUAAAUUCUAUGGAAUGUUUUGGGAGUUGGUGGCAAACAUUGCACAUAUUCUUUGGAAUGACAAAGAGAAUGGAUGAGGUGUUUGAAAAGGGGUGGUAGCGGAAAUCCUCCUGUUAAUGGCUUGUACCAAACUUAAGAUCUGUCCCUUGUUUAAAAAGCGGAAGAAGUAAAUAACAGUUAACAUUCGUUCCUGAUUGAAAGUCUCAGGAGGAAAAUGUUGAGGAAGCAUGUCAAGUUAAGAAGAAACAAUGAGCAUAAGAUUUGUCAUCUUAAGGACAUAAUCCUGGCAGUCUAGGUUGGUUGAUGAUAUGAUAGUGUGAUAAACUCUUUUGAAAGCAGUAGCAAUACAGUGGUAGCUCUAGUUGUGGACAAUCCGUUUUGGGGUGCUGUUCACACCCCGAAAAGUCCGCAACUAGAGCGCCUCUUCUGUGCAUGUGUGCGGCGCGAUUGAGCAGAUCGCUUCUGCUCAUGCGCAAAGUGCGUAGAUCGCUUCUGUGCAUGCGUGGGUGGCGAACCCAGAAGUGUUUCCAGGUUUGUUGCGUUCAUAAGCUGAAAGAGCGGGACACAACACGAGGUAUGACUACUUGUGCUACAUGCUGUGUGUAGUCUUGAUUACAUGAACAAUAUUUGCUGCUGAAAUCUGAGGUUUUAUGCGCAUGUGAAAAUGUUAAGAAAAUGCAGCAGUCUAGAUAAUGAAUUAUUGGAUUGGUCAUGUUUCAGAAAAUUCACGUAUAUUUCCUUAUUGGGUUACUCUUGGCCGUACAGUGGUACCUCUGGUUGUGAACGGGAUCCGUUCUGGAGCCCUGUUUGCAACAUGAGCAGAAUGCAGCCCGCGUCUGCAUGCGUGGGUUGCAAUUUGCCGCUUCUGUGCAUGUGCGCAAUGUCAUUUUGCACGUCUGUGCAUGUGUGAGUGGCAAAACCUGGAAGUAUCCAUUUCUGGUACUUCUGGGUCGCCGUGGGACACAGCCUGAAAUCGCGCAACCUGAAGCAUACGUAACAAGAGGUAUGACUGUACUUUGUUUCCAAACUGAAUCCAGCCACCCAGUGUAGCAUCUCCUGUUAGUUUUUUUCUUUGGCACUGCGUAGAAUCUGUGAGUCAGGAAUGUUAUCCACCUAUAGUACAAAUAAAGUAAUAAAAAUUAAUUAUAGGUAGUAUGAAUUAGUGAGGUUCACACUGUAUUAAGGAGAUCGGUGAAGGUUGAGAGCAACAUUUAAUCAUGAAGAAUUGCUUGCACUUUGUACAAUUUGUUUUAGAUUUAUGUAUUUGUUACGUGUCUAAGAGACCUUUUGGGAAUUUGCUUAUCUACUAAAUCUAUUAUAUUUGCAGUAUUAGUUGUGGUGCCCGACAAUGAGAGCUAAGGUCUCUCGUACUUCAUAUGUCACUACCAAUUUUAUGAUGACUCUAAUAUUGUGUGAAGCAAAUGAUAGCAGAAAUCCCACCACAUCCUGACCAUUUCAGAGAAGGACAAGCACAUAUGAUCAAAUCAUGAGCAUCUGUCACAUCAUUGAAAAAUUUAGGGAGUUGAGUCAUUCAUUGAUAAUGUGCUUCAUUGGCUAUGCAAAAAAAAUUUGAUACCAUCUGACAUGACCAUCUUUAGAGGAUACUUGCUGACAUGAGGAUUCCAAAAUAUCUUACUGAACUUUCUUGCAUGUUUGUUUGGUUUUUUUUGCAGGGGAGGUGGGCGCGGGGAUGGCAUUGACCACAGAUUUUGUUGCAAAUGGCAGCAAGUAAAAGCAAGUAGUUUCCCACAGGACAGCAAAAAAAUGGCAUGUCAUCAGCAAUCCUUUUUUUUUUUAAAAUGAUAUUUAUUGAAAAUUUUUAAAAUUACAGAAAAAAACACAGCAGAAAAAGAAAAAAGAGAAAACAAACCACAUCAAACAAUGCAGAUUCAAAAAACAAAAAUACACCACAAACAGAUAAAAACAAAUCCAUCAUUCUCGAAUCCUCAACUUUCAUUACCUUCUUUCUUUGACCUCCUCCUCCUCCCUUUUUUUGUAUCCUAGUUAUUAAUUAUCGCAGCAAAUCCUUUCCAUAUUUCAUAAUAUUCUGUCAUUACAUUACCUUAAUCUAUUUUCAUCUUAUCUUAUAGAAAACCUUAAAACUUAAAACUUAAAUCUUAUUUUUACCAACUUCUCAUAACCAUAAUAUUCUUACCUAAUUCUUUAAACAUUUUUGCUAGAGCCAAGUAAUUUCGUUCCAACAUUUUUCUAACAUUCAUCAAUUUUAU
rnacentral:lncRNA from 1 species